AACUAUUUUUCAUUUGAAUUUUAUAUUUAGCUUCCCUCUUAUUAAUAAAGGCUAAGGGCAAAAUUAUAUUUCUGAAAAUUUUAGCAGAGCAAAUAUAGAAGUUGGGGCCAUAACAGCAAAGAAGGAGGCACUGUUUGCUGGUUUGGCAGCUAGUUAACAGUGCUACAACAGGACCAUGGCUGCAUUUGCUGGUUGAAACUGAUAGAUUUCAGCUAUGUGCCAGAAUGUGAUUGAUUGACGGUUCUGCAUGCUGUACACGGAGCAUGGUGCCAGCAUUUGCCUCUAGUGAAGGCCUCAGGAAGCUUCCACUCACUCUUAAAGUUCUGUAUACCCUCCACACGUAAACUCCAAAUACAGUUUUAAAAUAAUUAUUUUUUGUCAGUAUUGAUAGUCAUAGCUGUUUAGGAUACAAAGUGAUAUUAUGAUUUAUGAAUACAAUGUAGCAUAAUUAAAUCAAAAAAUAACUCCAGUAGUUUGAACAACAGCGAUAAUAUCACAUCUGCAGUAGACAAUAAGCUUCU
rnacentral:lncRNA from 1 species